rnacentral:rRNA from 1 species
GGUUAAGCGACUAAGCGUACACGGUGGAUGCCCUGGCAGUCAGAGGCGAUGAAGGACGUGCUAAUCUGCGAAAAGCGUCGGUAAGGUGAUAUGAACCGUUAUAACCGGCGAUGUCCGAAUGGGGAAACCCAGUGCAAUUCGUUGCACUAUCGUUAACUGAAUACAUAGGUUAACGAGGCGAACCGGGGGAACUGAAACAUCUAAGUACCCCGAGGAAAAGAAAUCAACCGAGAUUCCCCCAGUAGCGGCGAGCGAACGGGGAGCAGCCCAGAGUCUGAAUCAGCUUGUGUGUUAGUGGAACGGUCUGGAAAGUCCGACGGUACAGGGUGAUAGUCCCAUACACCAAAAUGCACAGGCUGUGAACUCGAAGAGUAGGGCGGGACACGUGGUAUCCUGUCUGAAUAUGGGGGGACCAUCCUCCAAGGCUAAAUACUCCUGACUGACCGAUAGUGAACCAGUACCGUGAGGGAAAGGCGAAAAGAACCCCGGCGAGGGGAGUGAAAAAGAACCUGAAACCGUGUACGUACAAGCAGUGGGAGCACCUUCGGGUGUGACUGCGUACCUUUUGUAUAAUGGGUCAGCGACUUAUAUUCUGUAGCAAGGUUAACCGUAUAGGGGAGCCGCAGGGAAACCGAGUCUUAACUGGGCGUUAAGUUGCAGGGUAUAGACCCGAAACCCGGUGAUCUAGCCAUGGGCAGGUUGAAGGUUGGGUAACACUAACUGGAGGACCGAACCGACUAAUGUUGAAAAAUUAGCGGAUGACUUGUGGCUGGGGGUGAAAGGCCAAUCAAACCGGGAGAUAGCUGGUUCUCCCCGAAAGCUAUUUAGGUAGCGCCUCGUGAACUCAUCUUCGGGGGUAGAGCACUGUUUCGGCUAGGGGGUCAUCCCGACUUACCAACCCGAUGCAAACUACGAAUACCGAAGAAUGUUAUCACGGGAGACACACGGCGGGUGCUAACGUCCGUCGUGAAGAGGGAAACAACCCAGACCGCCAGCUAAGGUCCCAAAGUCAUGGUUAAGUGGGAAACGAUGUGGGAAGGCACAGACAGCCAGGAUGUUGGCUUAGAAGCAGCCAUCAUUUAAAGAAAGCGUAAUAGCUCACUGGUCGAGUCGGCCUGCGCGGAAGAUGUAACGGGGCUAAACCAUGCACCGAAGCUGCGGCAGCGACACUAUGUGUUGUUGGGUAGGGGAGCGUUCUGUAAGCCUGCGAAGGUGUGCUGUGAGGCAUGCUGGAGGUAUCAGAAGUGCGAAUGCUGACAUAAGUAACGAUAAAGCGGGUGAAAAGCCCGCUCGCCGGAAGACCAAGGGUUCCUGUCCAACGUUAAUCGGGGCAGGGUGAGUCGACCCCUAAGGCGAGGCCGAAAGGCGUAGUCGAUGGGAAACAGGUUAAUAUUCCUGUACUUGGUGUUACUGCGAAGGGGGGACGGAGAAGGCUAUGUUAGCCGGGCGACGGUUGUCCCGGUUUAAGCAUGUAGGCUGAUUGUCCAGGCAAAUCCGGAUAAUCAAGGCUGAGGUGUGAUGACGAGGCACUACGGUGCUGAAGUAACAAAUGCCCUGCUUCCAGGAAAAGCCUCUAAGCAUCAGGUAACAUUAAAUCGUACCCCAAACCGACACAGGUGGUCAGGUAGAGAAUACCAAGGCGCUUGAGAGAACUCGGGUGAAGGAACUAGGCAAAAUGGUGCCGUAACUUCGGGAGAAGGCACGCUGGUGUGUAGGUGAAGUCCCUGCGGAUGGAGCUGAGACCAGUCGAAGAUACCAGCUGGCUGCAACUGUUUAUUAAAAACACAGCACUGUGCAAACACGAAAGUGGACGUAUACGGUGUGACGCCUGCCCGGUGCCGGAAGGUUAAUUGAUGGGGUUAUCCGUAAGGAGAAGCUCUUGAUCGAAGCCCCGGUAAACGGCGGCCGUAACUAUAACGGUCCUAAGGUAGCGAAAUUCCUUGUCGGGUAAGUUCCGACCUGCACGAAUGGCGUAAUGAUGGCCAGGCUGUCUCCACCCGAGACUCAGUGAAAUUGAACUCGCUGUGAAGAUGCAGUGUACCCGCGGCAAGACGGAAAGACCCCGUGAACCUUUACUAUAGCUUGACACUGAACAUUGAGCCUUGAUGUGUAGGAUAGGUGGGAGGCUUUGAAGCGUGGACGCCAGUCUGCGUGGAGCCAACCUUGAAAUACCACCCUUUAAUGUUUGAUGUUCUAACGUUGGCCCCUGACCGGGGUUGCGGACAGUGUCUGGUGGGUAGUUUGACUGGGGCGGUCUCCUCCCAAAGCGUAACGGAGGAGCACGAAGGUUAGCUAAUCCUGGUCGGACAUCAGGAGGUUAGUGCAAUGGCAUAAGCUAGCUUGACUGCGAGCGUGACGGCGCGAGCAGGUGCGAAAGCAGGUCAUAGUGAUCCGGUGGUUCUGAAUGGAAGGGCCAUCGCUCAACGGAUAAAAGGUACUCCGGGGAUAACAGGCUGAUACCGCCCAAGAGUUCAUAUCGACGGCGGUGUUUGGCACCUCGAUGUCGGCUCAUCACAUCCUGGGGCUGAAGUAGGUCCCAAGGGUAUGGCUGUUCGCCAUUUAAAGUGGUACGCGAGCUGGGUUUAGAACGUCGUGAGACAGUUCGGUCCCUAUCUGCCGUGGGCGCUGGAGAAUUGAGGGGGGCUGCUCCUAGUACGAGAGGACCGGAGUGGACGCAUCACUGGUGUUCGGGUUGUCAUGCCAAUGGCACUGCCCGGUAGCUAAAUGCGGAAGAGAUAAGUGCUGAAAGCAUCUAAGCACGAAACUUGCCCCGAGAUGAGUUCUCCCUGAGACUUUAAGUCUCCUGAAGGAACGUUAAAGACGAUGACGUUGAUAGGCCGGGUGUGUAAGCGCAGCGAUGCGUUGAGCUAACCGGUACUAAUGAACCGUGAGGCUUAACCUU